UCUCUUUCUCUUGGGCCAAUGACGCAAUCCCACACCUUCUUUACACUCACCGCGCGCACUCGUCGUCGAGCACCAUUUCCAUGCCGCUGCACGGCCUCAUCUCCGACGCGCUCCUCACACUCCGCUCACCACUCGCCGACGGAUGCCGGACCUUUCUCAUCCCGCCGCCUCCACUCGGCCAACCCCGUUCCACCGCCAUCUCUUCAACUCCCACUCAGAAACCCCAUCUUCUUCUCGCUUCGCCCUCACCGCCAUCUCCGAUCCGCUGCUACGAUCAACUCGCAGGCGUUUUUUGAUCUUUCGCAAGAUCCGAGGUUUUUCGAAGUUGAGCUUAAAGUACGUGACUAUGAAUUGGAUCAAUAUGGGUGUUGUUAACAAUGCUGUCUAUGCUAGCUAUUGCCAACAUGGUCGCCAUGAACUCCUGGAAAAGAUUGGCCUUAGUGCAGAUGCAGUCGCUCGCACUGGCGAGUCACUAGCACUUUCUGAGCUGUCCUUAAAAUUCAUCUCUCCCUUGAGAAGUCACGAUAAAUUUGUUGUGAAAGUAAGGAUUUCAGGCACUUCUGCUGCCCGGAUUUUCUUCGACCACUUAAUCUUCAAGCUGCCUGAUCAAAAGCCAAUUUUAGAAGCAAAAGGCACAGCCGUCUGGCUCGACCAGAACUAUCGUCCUAUUCGUAUUCCUGCUGAGUUUAAAACAAAAUUACUUCAGUUUUCUGCUGCAGAUGAUCCCAAUUGAGAAUUUUUUUUCUUGAGAAAAUCUCACCAGUUAUGCUGAAAUAACCUCUGAAUUUCUGAAAGGGACCUUAAAUACCCAGUAAAAAUCCUAUUUUCAUAACAAGUUUGAAGGCAUACAAGCCCUACAAAUAAAUCACAAAAUUUCUUCACAAGCGGUUCAACUUAAAAACAAAACAUUGACAUCAUUCACUACGAUGCUAUUUGGAUUACCUGUAAGUAGUUGUAAUGUAAUUAAUUUU